AUCCAGGCCGCCCUACGUAACUGCAUCCAAAGACACCCCAGCCGCCACUGCAAUCCCUUCAUCUCCAUUUUUCUAAAAAUUAGGCGGGUGCUUUCAAUUGUGGACCGAUGGCGAGGGCAAGAGAUUAAAAAAUAUGGUCUGAAAAAAAUCACUGUCUGAACAAAAAAAAUAGAGUGAUGGAAAGAGAUUAUCAAAUAGUAAUGUUAUAUAAACUAACUUUUAAAUUAAAUUGGUAUAUUAUAUAAGGAAAACUAAUGAAAAGGGUUUGAAAACUUUGAGUUUUAAUGAUAAGGACAAAAUAAAGGGAAAAGUGAAUAGUACUAGGAUUGACUUUUUAGUGUAAAAAUAUGGUUUUUCGUUAAAGUGAACAGUACCGGGAGUUUUUCGUUAAAAUUUCCUAUUAUAUAAUGUGUGACUAAUAGAAAAUAAGCACCAUAUCAUCUUAUUAACGUUUUUUUUUUCUCAUCAAGUUAGACAUUUUCCACUUACCAUGCAGAGAAAAACUUGUUUGGGGCGUAACAUGCCACUAGAGUGGCGCUAGCAACCACUUAAAAGUUGUCAUGUGGUAAGCUAUGAUUAUAAUGUUGUAACCUUAAUUAGACUUAACUAAUUAUCAAGAUUAUGUAGUGGCGCCCAGCUGUCUGUUUAGAGAGAGAGAGAGUGUGUGUAUAGUGGAUUUGGAUCCUCUCCUAAGCAGGAGAUCAAGAUCCUUAGGAUCAAACAAUAUGGAUCGUUGGAUUUUGAUCUAACGAUUAUAAACAGAGAAUUCUUCUAAAAUUAUAAUAAUUAUAGCCGUUGGAUUAAAAUUUAACAGCCUAUGUUGUUUGAUCCCGAGGAUCCUGAUCUCUUGCUCAUGAGAGGAUCCAAAUCCGUGUGUAGUACCUCCCUGCCCUCCUCCAGUGUGUGUGUGGUACCUCCCUGCCCUCCUCCAGUCCUCCCUGUCCACAGAGAGAGAGAGAGAGAGAGAGAGAGAGAGAGAAAGAGUGUGCAGAGUACCUCCCUGACGUCCUCCAUUCCUCUUGGUCCUUUUAUUUUGUCUUUUAUUUUUUUGCCUGUGUUUUUUAGAGGUGCUAAGCAACAAAUAACUAUGCAUGCAGGUAGCCAUACCUGCGUAAAAGUCAAGAGCAGUAGCAUUUUUGUAGAUAAAAUAUUCACUUAUAUAAUAUAUGUAUGAUAUAUAUCUAAAUAAUAUAUAUAU
rnacentral:lncRNA from 1 species